GACGAACGCUGGCGGCGUGCUUAACACAUGCAAGUCGAACGGUAAGGCCCUUCGGGGUACACGAGUGGCGAACGGGUGAGUAACACGUGGGUGAUCUGCCCUGCACUUCGGGAUAAGCCUGGGAAACUGGGUCUAAUACCGGAUAGGACUCCUGGCUUCAUGGUUGGGGGUGGAAAGCUUUUGCGGUGUGGGAUGGGCCCGCGGCCUAUCAGCUUGUUGGUGGGGUAAUGGCCUACCAAGGCGACGACGGGUAGCCGGCCUGAGAGGGUGACCGGUCACACUGGGACUGAGAUACGGCCCAGACUCCUACGGGAGGCAGCAGUGGGGAAUAUUGCGCAAUGGGCGCAAGCCUGAUGCAGCGACGCCGCGUGAGGGAUGACGGCCUUCGGGUUGUAAACCUCUUUCAGCUAUGACGAAGCGCAAGUGACGGUAGUAGCAGAAGAAGGACCGGCCAACUACGUGCCAGCAGCAGCCGCAG
rnacentral:rRNA from 1 species